rnacentral:rRNA from 1 species
CAGCAGCCGCGGGAAUACGGAGGGCGCGAGCGUUACCCGGAUUUACUGGGCGUAAAGGGCGUGUAGGCGGCCUGGGGCGUCCCAUGUGAAAGGCCACGGCUCAACCGUGGAGGAGCGUGGGAUACGCUCAGGCUAGAGGGUGGGAGAGGGUGGUGGAAUUCCCGGAGUAGCGGUGAAAUGCGCAGAUACCGGGAGGAACGCCGAUGGCGAAGGCAGCCACCUGGUCCACUUCUGACGCUGAGGCGCGAAAGCGUGGGGAGCAAACCGGAUUAGAUACCCGCGUAGUCCCUGUCUUUAUACA